GAUGAACGCUGACAGAAUGCUUAACACAUGCAAGUCUACUUGAACUUCGGUUUGGGUGGCGGACGGGUGAGUAACGCGUACAGAACUUGCCUCACAGUUAGGGACAACAUUUGGAAACGAAUGCUAAUACCUGAUAUUAUGAUUUUAGGGCAUCCUAAGAUUAUGAAAGCUAUAUGCACUGUGAGAGAGCUUUGCGUCCCAUUAUCUAGUUGGAGAGGUAACGGCUCACCAAGGCGAUGAUGGGUAGCCGGCCUGAGAGGGUGAACGGCCACAAGGGGACUGAGACACGGCCCUUACUCAUACGGGAGGCAGCAGUGGGGAAUAUUGGACAAUGGACCAAAAGUCUGAUCCAGCAAUUCUGUGUGCACGAUGACGUUUUUAGGAAUGUAAAGUGCUUUCAGUUGGGAAGAAAAAAAUGACGGUACCAACAGAAGAAGUGACGGCUAAAUACGUG
rnacentral:rRNA from 1 species